rnacentral:rRNA from 1 species
AGUGGCAAACGGGUGAGUAUAAUGUGGGAAUCUGCCUUUUGGUUUGGAAUAACACGAGGAAACUUGUGCUAAUACCGGAUAAGCCCUUACGGGGAAAGUUUUAACGCCGAAAGAUGAGCCUGCACUUGAUUAGCUAGUUGGUAAGGUAAAGGCUUACCAAGGCAACGAUCAAUAGCUGUUCUUAGAGGAAGACCAGCCACAUUGGGACUGAGACACGGCCCAGACUCCUACGGGAGGCAGCAGUGGGGAAUCUUGCACAAUGGGGGAAACCCUGAUGCAGCGAUGCCGCGUGAGUGAAGAAGGCCCUUGGGUUGUAAAACUCUUUCGUCGGGGAAGAAAAUGACUGUACCCGAAUAAGAAGGUCCGGCUAACUUCGUGCCAGCAGCCGCGGUAAUACGAAGGGACCUAGCGUAGUUCGGAAUUACUGGGCUUAAAGAGCUCGUAGGUGGUUAAAAAAGUUGAUGGUGAAAUCCCAAGGCUCAACCUUAGAACUGCCAUCAAAACUUUUUAGCUAGAGUGUGAUAGAGGUAAGUGGAAUUUCUAGUGUAGAGGUGAAAUUCGUAGAUAUUAGAAAGCACACCAAAUGCGAAGGCAACUUACUGGGUCACUACUGACACUGAGGAGCGAAAGCAUGGGUAGCGAAGAGGAUUAGAUACCCUCGUAGUCCAUGCCGUAAACGAUGUGUGCUAGACGUUGGGAAUAUAUUUUUCAGUGUCGCAGCGAAAGCGUUAAGCUCUCCG